rnacentral:piRNA from 1 species
UAUCAGGAGAAUGAAUGGAAAUAUGCAGC